rnacentral:rRNA from 1 species
UACGUAGGGUCCGAGCGUUGUCCGGAAUUAUUGGGCGUAAAGGGCUCGUAGGCGGUCUGUUGCGUCGGGAGUGAAAACUUACAGCUUAACUGUGAGCGUGCUUCCGAUACGGGCAGACUUGAGGUAUUCAGGGGAGAACGGAAUUCCUGGUGUAGCGGUGAAAUGCGCAGAUAUCAGGAGGAACACCAAUGGCGAAGGCAGCUCGCUGGGACGGUACUGACGCUGAGGCGCGAAAGCGUGGGGAGCAAACAGG